AUUUGUCUAGCUUAAUUGGUAAAAUACAAGACUCUUAACCUUGUGGUCGCGGGUUCGAGCCCCAUGGUGGGUG
rfam:Zea mays cultivar B73 chromosome 2, whole genome shotgun sequence.